rnacentral:rRNA from 1 species
GAUGAACGCUAGCGGCAGGCCUAACACAUGCAAGUCGAGGGGUAGAAGGAGCUUGCUCCUUUGAGACCGGCGCACGGGUGCGUAACGCGUAUGCAAUCUACCUUGUACAGGGGAAUAGCCCAGAGAAAUUUGGAUUAAUGCCCCAUAGUAUAUAAACUUCGCAUGAUGGUUAUAUUAAAUUUCCAACGGUACAAGAUGAGCAUGCGUUCCAUUAGUUAGUUGGUAAGGUGACGGCUUACCAAGACGUAGAUGGAUAGGGGUGCAUGGAGGGUGAUCACCCACACUGGUACACAGCCCCCGACCCGACUACUACGGGAGGCAGCAGUGAGGAAUAUUAGUCACUGGUCGCAAGACUGAACCGCCCAUGCCGCAUGCAAGAAGACAGUCCUGUUGAGUAUAAUCUGCUUUUAUAAAGGAAGAAACCCACCCACGUGGGGGGGCUUGACGGUACUGUAGGAAUAAAGAACGGCUAACUCCGUG